CUUCUCUUAAUUACGCUUCCUCCUCUGUCCUUUAUGUGCUCUUUGUGUAGGACUGAAUCUAAUUUGUGACUGGUUUUGGAGAGCUGAUGAGACUUUUGCCAGCAGUCAUGUAAAUGAAUAACUUUAAGGUUAAGCUAUUGAUUGCAAGGACCAUAAAGCUCAAACAGUGAGUUCACUUCAUUCAUACUGAGGCUCUCUGAGCACUAGACUAUGGAUUUUGCUGUUUGUUUCCUUUAAUAGUAGACGGAGGACAACAAAAAUACCAGAGAUGGUUGCAAACUGUGCAGUCUGGCAUGAUGGUGGAAGAUGGCUUGUGUUUGAAGAACAGCAAGGGGAUGGAAGGAUGGAAUCCAGGGCUGCAAGAACAGAAAAUUUGCAAACCUAAUAGAAGAGUCUUCAAAUGUCAAAUCUUUGAGUACAGAAAAGAAAAUGAAAUCCACGUUCCUGUCUCUGUUUCCCUUUCACCUCCUUUGAAAUAUGAACAACUUCAGAAAAUAGACUCAUUUGUUUCACCUUUUUCUUUUGGCCUGAAUGGUUAUGUGAAGCAUAACAAGAGUGACUAGGGUAAGGGCCAAGGGCCCAAGGACCAGCCCAGAAAGCCAACAAUAUCCAGCUGUAUCAAAAGAAUUGUUAUUCAAUUCACAAGGCCACGAGAGGUGAGUCUCCCUCUCUACUCUGCUCUGGUGAAACCCCACCUGGAAUACUGCUACCCUGUUACUGUAGGGGUAGUUAG